rnacentral:rRNA from 1 species
UACGAAGGGGGCUAGCGUUGCUCGGAAUCACUGGGCGUAAAGCGCACGUAGGCGGAUUGCUAAGUCAGGGGUGAAAUCCUGGAGCUCAACUCCAGAACUGCCUUUGAUACUGGCGACCUUGAGUCCGGGAGAGGUGAGUGGAACUCCGAGUGUAGAGGUGAAAUUCGUAGAUAUUCGGAAGAACACCAGUGGCGAAGGCGGCUCACUGGCCCGGUACUGACGCUGAUGUGCGAAAGCGUGGGGAGCAAACAGG